UAGCUCAGCGGUUAAGAGCACUGACUGCUCUUCCAGAGGUCCUGGGUUCAAUUCCCAG
rnacentral:tRNA from 1 species